rnacentral:rRNA from 1 species
AACGUAGGAGACAAACGUUAUCCGGAGUUACUGGGCGUAAAGGGCGUGUAGGUGGUAGUGUAAGUCUGGCGUGAAAUCUUUCGGCUCAACCGGAAAAGGGCCUUUGAUACGGACCGCCUCGAGGGAGGUAGGGGCAUGCGGAACUUCCGGUGGAGCGGUGAAAUGCGUAGAUAUCGGAAGGAACGCCGGUGGCGAAAGCGGCGUGCUGGACCUCUUCUGACGCUGAGGCGCGAAAGCCAGGGGAGCGAACGGG